rnacentral:rRNA from 1 species
CGCAACGAGCGCAACCCUUAUCCUUUGUUGCCAGCGAUUAGGUCGGGAACUCAAAGGAGACUGCCAGUGAUAAACUGGAGGAAGGUGGGGAUGACGUCAAGUCAUCAUGGCCCUUACGACCAGGGCUACACACGUGCUACAAUGGCGCAUACAAAGAGAAGCGACCUCGCGAGAGCAAGCGGACCUCAUAAAGUGCGUCGUAGUCCGGAUUGGAGUCUGCAACUCGACUCCAUGAAGUCGGAAUCGCUAGUAAUCGUGGAUCAGAAUGCCACGGUGAAUACGUUCCCGGGCCUUGUACACACCGCCCGUCACACCAUGGGAGUGGGUUGCAAAAGAAGUAGGUAGCUUAACCUUCGGGAGGGCGCUUACCACUUUGUGAUUCAUGACUGGGGUGAAGUCGUAACAAGGUAACCGUAGGGGAACCUGCGGUUGGAUCACCUCCUUACCUUAAAGAAGC